rnacentral:tRNA from 1 species
GCCAGUGUGAUGAAAUGGUAGACAUGGGGGAUUCAAAAUCCCCUGGCUUGACGGCCGUGUCGGUUCGAAUCCAAUCUCUGGUACCA